rnacentral:lncRNA from 1 species
AGAAAACUGAAAAUGCCCUGAAUUUGGAUGAAAUUGCCAGAACUGAAAAUGCCCUGAAUUUGGAUCAAAUUGCCAGAAUAGUGAAAAUCGACAUUGUGGGAAAAUCUAAAUGUAGUGCAUGUUUUUUAGAAAACUAAUAAGAAGAUAAAUAAAAAUAAAUAAGAAGAUAAAGUGAUUACAAACUCGAAUAAAAAAACAAUCAAAAUAAUAAAAAUAACAAAAUAGUUCAAAAUAAAAAUAAAAUAAAGAAGUC